AAAAGACACCCAUUGGUCAAAAUGGUAAAAUGUUAAAUUUUUUAAAUAUACUCCCCAACAAAUAUACAUAGCUUAGAAAAAGUGGUGUUAGAUUAUGUAACAGGAAGUACUAUUUUACAGUGGUUAGGAAAUGUAUUUAUCCAGCUUUCAUUAUAUUUAAUGAACUCCUGUGAUGUAUAAGAUACUAUAUAAGAAAUCUGUAAGCUUAUGAGGUUUACAGUCUAAUUUAUGAAUUUUAAAAGAUAGGCUUUGGAUAAGCAGGUAGAUAACAGAUCCUGAACCUUUUAUUUUAUUCAACAUCAUUUAUUAUUACUAUGUGCAAGGCAAUUUGGGGAAUAUAAAGAAGAACCAAACCCAAUCCCAGCCCUGAAGGAGUUUCUGGCCAAGGUUAAGCUCGACCAUGUUCUCCCACAAGCUGUCAUUGGUUAAUACUAGGUUAAUACCUUUUAUCAGGAAAGGUAUCAAGCUGGUAAAAUGGUUCACCAGGCUGGUCCCCUUGGCCUUCUUUGGGAUGUUUCAGACUUGCUAAUUUGAAUGAUGGGAUGUUGAUUGCAUUGAGCAUCAUACAGCUGGAAAGGCUGAUUCAGGCCCGCUGUCUGCAAUUCUGUUGAAAAAUUGGAAGAUUUCCAGAAACGGAAUGGUUGUGAUAACUGCAAAUCCUCUAAAGAGGCUCAACAUUCCACUUGAUGGAGAUACCUCUGACGGGGCUGCUCUGAAGCCACUUCAUCAGCUGUGUGACGUAGCCUGCUAUCCUGGAGCUUUUCGCUGGGAAUAAUGGCGAGCUCUUCACACAUGCGCUUGUUGGUGUGUUAGUCGUUGCCCGGGCCAUGUGCUCUCCAUGAUGACUCGGGCUGCCUUCUUCAUAGUCUUGGUGCAAACGCGGCCCGUCUUGGCAGGUCCCUGGUGAAAGAGCAUGGUGUUCAACUUUUAAUGGCAAAGGAAUAUGGGCUUUUGUCCAUAUUCCUUUGCCACUGGCCUUCUGAGCUGUAUAUUUUCUUUCUGUAUUGAAGAUAGAAUAAAAGAAAACCAUGUUCGAUUAGUUGGGUUGGGCACAUUGGUGAAAACCCUUAGUGGUUAGACUGAACAUGAUCUACACUUCCUUACCCCUGGGAAAGUAUAAAGUAGCUCAGUGUUUCCUAAAUGUAUUCUGGUCAGGUAGCCAGACUUAGAGGAAGUUUCACUGUCUGCAUUAAAAUAAAAAAAUAAAAAAAUAAAAUAAAAAAAAGAGGAAGAAAGAAAAUGUACAUGCUGAUGUAAAUGUGCCCAUUUUCCUUUCAUGGGAGCGGCUGUCCUUUAUUUAGAGACUAUGUUCUUGUUAUUUUGUGG
rnacentral:lncRNA from 1 species